GACGAACGCUGGCGGCGUGCUUAACACAUGCAAGUCGAACGGAAAGGCCCUGCUUUUGUGGGGUGCUCGAGUGGCGAACGGGUGAGUAACACGUGAGUAACCUGCCCUUGACUUUGGGAUAACUUCAGGAAACUGGGGCUAAUACCGGAUAGGAGCUCCUGCUGCAUGGUGGGGGUUGGAAAGUUUCGGCGGUUGGGGAUGGACUCGCGGCUUAUCAGCUUGUUGGUGGGGUAGUGGCUUACCAUGGCUUUGACGGGUAGCCGGCCUGAGAGGGUGACCGGCGACAAUGGGACUGAGGUACGGCCCAGACGCCUACGGGAGGCAGCAGUGGGGAAUAUUGCACAAUGGGCGGAAGCCUGAUGCAGCAACGCCGCGUGCGGGAUGACGGCCUUCGGGUUGUAAACCGCUUUCGCCUGUGACGAAGCGUGAGUGACGGUAAUGGGUAAAGAAGCACCGGCUAACUACGUG
rnacentral:rRNA from 1 species